rnacentral:rRNA from 1 species
GUUGAUCCUGCCGGAGGUCACUGCUAUUGGGAUUCGACUAAGCCAUGCGAGUCGAGAGGGUUCGGCCCUCGGCUGACGGCUCAGUAACACGUGGGUAAUCUGCCCUUAGGUGGAGGAUAAUCUCGGGAAACUGAGGAUAAUACUCCAUAGGUCUAGGAUGCUGGAAUGCAUCUAAAUUGAAAGCUCCGGCGCCUAAGGAUGAGUCUGCGGACUAUCAGGUUGUAGUCAGGGUAAAGACCUGACUAGCCUACGACGGAUACGGGUUGUGAGAGCAAUAACCCGGAGACGAUAUCUGAGACACGAUAUCGGGCCCUACGGGGCGCAGCAGGCGCGAAAACUUCACACUGUGCGAAAGCGCGAUGAGGGAAUCCCAAGUGUUUGCUCGUUAGAGUAAACUGUUUCUUUUGUUUAAAACGCAGAGAGAGUAAGGGCUGGGUAAGACGGGUGCCAGCCGCCGCGGUAAUACCUGCAGCUCAAGUGGUGAUCAUUAUUAUUGGGCCUAAAACGUCCGUAGCCGGUUUAGUAAAUGCCUGGGUAAAUUGUGUAGCUUAACUAUACGACUUCCGGGUAGACUGCUAAACUUGAGACCGGGAGAGGCUAGAGGUACUCCUGGGGUAGAGGUGAAAUUCUGUAAUCCUAGGGGGACCACCAGUGGCGAAGGCGUCUAGCUAGAACGGGUCUGACGGUGAGGGACGAAGCCCUGGGGCACAAACCGGAUUAGAUACCCGGGUAGUCCAGGGUGUAAACGCUGCCUGCUUGAUGUUAGUUGGGCUCCGAGCCCAACUAGUGUCGGAGAGAAGUUGUUAAGCAAGCUGCCUGGGAAGUACGGUCGCAAGGCUGAAACUUAAAGGAAUUGGCGGGGGAGCACAGCAACGGGUGGAGCGUGCGGUUUAAUUGGAUUCAACGCCGGAAAACUCACCGGAGGCGACGGUUACAUGAAGGCCAGGUUGAUGACCUUGCCUGAUUUUCCGAGAGGUGGUGCAUGGCCGCCGUCAGUUCGUACCGUAAGGCGUUCUGUUAAGUCAGACAACGAACGGGACCCUCAUCUUUAAUUGCUACUAGUAAGUUCGCUUACUGGGCACAUUAAAGAAACCGCUGGCGAUAAGUCAGAGGAAGGCGAGGGCAACGGUAGGUCAGUAUGCCCUGAAUCCUCCGGGCUACACGCGCGCUACAAAGGUUAGGACAAUGAGCUUCAACACCGAGAGGUGAAGGUAAUCUCGAAACCUAAUCGUAGUUCGGAUUGAGGGUUGAAACUCACCCUCAUGAAGCUGGAAUCCGUAGUAAUCGCGGAUCAACAUCCCGCGGUGAAUAUGCCCCUGCUCCUUGCACACACCGCCCGUCAAACCAUGCGAGUUGGGUUUGAGUGAGGAUGUAGUUUUUGCUACGUUCAAACUUAGGCUUAGUAAGCGGGGUUAAGUCGUAACAAGGUAUCCGUA